GGAUUAGGCAUGCAAGUCGAACGAGGAUAUAUCCUUCGGGAUAUAAGCCGAGUGGCUCAAGGGUGAGUAAUGCAUAGAUUACCUACCUUUAGGAUAAGGACAACUUUGUGAAAACGGGGCUAAUACUUAAUAAUACAAAGGAAAAUAAUUUCUUUUGUCAAAGGGAGGGUAGUAAUACCUUUCGCCUAGAGAGGGGUUUAUGUCCUAUCAGCUUGUUGGUGGGGUAAUGGCCUACCAAGGCAAAGACGGGUAGCCGGCCUUAGAGGGUGGUCGGCCACACUGGGACUGAGACACUGCCCAGACUUCUACGGAAGGCUGCAGUCGAGAAUCUUUCGCAAUGCCCGAAAGG
rnacentral:rRNA from 1 species